UACGUAGGGCGCAAGCGUUGUCCGGAAUUAUUGGGCGUAAAGAGCUCGUAGGCGGUUUGUUGCGUCGGCUGUGAAAUCCCGAGGCUCAACCUCGGGUCUGCAGUCGAUACGAGCAAACUAGAGUGUUGCAGGGGAGACUGGAAUUCCUGGUGUAGCGGUGAAAUGCGCAGAUAUCAGGAGGAACACCGGUGGCGAAGGCGGGUCUCUGGGCAACAACUGACGCUGAGGAGCGAAAGUGUGGGGAGCGAACAGG
rnacentral:rRNA from 1 species